AAGCAUAUCAAUAAGCGGAGGAAAAGAAACCAACAGGGAUUGCCCUAGUAACGGCGAGUGAAGCGGCAACAGCUCAAAUUUGAAAUCUGGCUCUUUUAGGGUCCGAGUUGUAAUUUGCAGAGGGCGCUUUGGCUUUGGCAGCGGUCCAAGUUCCUUGGAACAGGACGUCACAGAGGGUGAGAAUCCCGUACGUGGUCGCUGGCUAUUGCCGUGUAAAGCCCCUUCGACGAGUCGAGUUGUUUGGGAAUGCAGCUCUAAAUGGGAGGUACAAUUCUUCUAAAGCUAAAUAUUGGCCAGAGACCGAUAGCGCACAAGUAGAGUGAUCGAAAGAUGAAAAGCACUUUGGAAAGAGAGUCAAACAGCACGUGAAAUUGUUGAAAGGGAAGCGCUUGCAGCCAGACUUGCUUGCAGUUGCUCAUCCGGGCUUUUGCCCGGUGCACUCUUCUGUAGGCAGGCCAGCAUCAGUUCGAGCGGUAGGAUAAAGGUCUCUGUCACGUACCUCCUUUCGGGGAGGCCUUAUAGGGGAGACGACAUACUACCAGCUUGGACUGAGGUCCGCGCAUCUGCUAGGAUGCUGGCGUAAUGGCUGUAAGCGGCCCGUCUUGAAACACGGACCAAGGAGUCUAACAUCUAUGCGAGUGUUUGGGUGUCAAGCCCGAGCGCGUAAUGAAAGUGAACGGAGGUGGGAACCCGCAAGGGUGCACCAUCGACCGAUCCUGAUGUCUUCGGAAGGAUUUGAGUAAGAGCAUGGCUGUUGGGACCCGAAAGAUGGUGAACUAUGCUUGAAUAGGGUGAAGCCAGAGGAAACUCUGGUGGAGGCUCGCAGCGGUUCUGACGUGCAAAUCGAUCGUCAAAUUUGGGCAUAGGGGCGAAAGACUAAUCGAACUAUCUAGUAGCUGGU
rnacentral:rRNA from 1 species